rnacentral:rRNA from 1 species
UACAGAGGGUGCAAGCGUUAAUCGGAAUUACUGGGCGUAAAGAGCGCGUAGGCGGUGUAUUAAGUUAGAUGUGAAAUCCCUGGGCUUAACCUAGGAACUGCAUCUAAUACUGGUACGCUAGAGUGCAGUAGAGGGUAGUGGAAUUUCCGGUGUAGCGGUGAAAUGCGUAGAUAUCGGAAGGAACACCAGUGGCGAAGGCGGCUACCUGGACUGACACUGACGCUGAGGCGCGAGAGCGUGGGGAGCAAACAGG